AACUAAAUAAUCAUUUUACCGUAGACAGUAGGUGCAUAAAGCUUAAUAUCCUACCGAGGUUCUAAUAUAUUCUUCGGGAUUAUUAUGCCUUUGCUGUUUGCGAAGGCAUUUUUUAAUGGUUGUU
rfam:Tepidibacillus sp. Z9 scaffold00001, whole genome shotgun sequence.